AUUGAACGCUGGCGGCAGGCCUAACACAUGCAAGUCGAGCGCGCGGCGGACGGGUGAGAAAUGUCUGGGAAACUGCCUGAUGGAGAGGGAUAACUACUGGAAACGGUAGCUAAUACCGCAUACCAUCUGAUAUGCCCAGAUGGGAUUAGCUAGUAGGGGGGGUAAUGGCUCACCUAGGCGACGAUCCCUAGCUGGUCUGAGAGGAUGACCAGCCAAACUGGAACUGAGACACGGUCCAGACUCCUACGGGAGGCAGCAGUGGGGAAUAUUGCACAAUGGGCGCAAGCCUGAUGCAGCCAUGCCGCGUGUAUGAAGAAGGCCUUCGGGUUGUAAAGUACUUUCAGCGAGGAGGCGUUACUCGCAGAAGAAGCACCGGCUAACUCCGUGCCAGCAGCCGCGGUAAUUC
rnacentral:rRNA from 1 species